rnacentral:rRNA from 1 species
AUGAGCGAUGAGCUACUGGAGUUGCUAUACUUCAUUGCAAGUAGUCAAAAGGAAGACGCUCAAAAAAUCGAUCUCAACAAGGAUGCUCUUCAAGCUAGCCGGAUGAAGGAAGGAACCAGCGAGGCCGCUCCUAUGAGUAUUCGUCUCGUCGCCCUGUAUUAUGAUUUCAAUCUUUAUGGGGGUUUUCAAUACCAUUUAACUGGAAUUAACCGAUGCAAGUCCAAGAAGGAUUGGCCGGUGCUGCUGGCUGGCGUCAAGUUCGAUACCAUGGAUCAGGAGCUGAUCAGGCACCUUGAGGCCAAAGUGAGUGCUGAUAGUGCGAGAUCUCACCCUCUCAUCGAUUUGUUCAUACCAACCAUCGAUAGCGAUCACGACAUAUGCUACACCCAUCCUAAGAAACUUCCAGGUAUCACACUAAGUGGCCUAAGCAAGCGUUUCUUCCAGCGCAACUCCAGGGCAGUCAAAAGGGGCACCAAAAAGGUUCUGGUGCUGCACACCAACAAGAACUUCGACCAGCAGAGGACCAACUGGGUGAUGCACCAGUACCACCUCGGGGACCUGGAGCAAGAGAAGGAGUGGGAGCUGGUCCUCUGCAAGAUUUUCUAUCAGACGAACACUAGGGCCAGGACUAAAAAGAUUAUAAGUUAG